rnacentral:rRNA from 1 species
CCUACGGGAGGCAGCAGUAGGGAAUCUUCCGCAAUGGACGAAAGUCUGACGGGGCAACGCCGCGUGAGUGAUGAAGGCUUUCGGGUCGUAAAACUCUGUUGUUAGGGAAGAACAAGUGCUAGUUGAAUAAGCUGGCACCUUGACGGUACCUAACCAGAAAGCCACGGCUAACUACGUGCCAGCAGCCGCGGUAAUACGUAGGUGGCAAGCGUUAUCCGGAAUUAUUGGGCGUAAAGCGCGCGCAGGUGGUUUCUUAAGUCUGAUGUGAAAGCCCACGGCUCAACCGUGGAGGGUCAUUGGAAACUGGGAGACUUGAGUGCAGAAGAGGAAAGUGGAAUUCCAUGUGUAGCGGUGAAAUGCGUAGAGAUAUGGAGGAACACCAGUGGCGAAGGCGACUUUCUGGUCUGUAACUGACACUGAGGCGCGAAAGCGUGGGGAGCGAACAGGAUUAGAUACCCUGGUAGUCCACGCCGUAAACGAUGAGUGCUAAGUGUUAGGGGGUUUCCGCCCCUUAGUGCUGCAGCUAACGCAUUAAGCACUCCGCCUGGGGAGUACGGUCGCAAGACUGAAACUCAAAGGAAUUGACGGA